CGCUCUGGAGGGCCAUGGCGAUCAGCGCCGAGUACGAGUAGGGCGGGCGCACCAAGCGCAGGAACUCCUGCUGCCCGGCUCUGGCCAGCGAGGACAGCCAGCCCAGCUCGGAGCCAUACGCCGCCGAGGGCAGGUAAGACUGAAUUCCAGAGCAUCCCUACAAGCAAAACAAAACUGUGUACCAAGUUGAAGCAAAUGUUGCUUUUGGGAAAAGGCAAGAGAUAAUAAAACAAUACAACAUGAUGCAAGGCAAUCCGGCUGUUGGGCUGGGCUGUGGCGCAGCUGGCUAGUAACCAGCUGCAAUAAAUCAUGAGUUCGAAGUCCAGGUUGGGUUAAGCCCCCAACCAUUAAAUAGCCCAGCUUGCUGUUUACCUAAGCAGCCCGAAAGACAGUUGCAUCUGUCAAGUAGGAAAUUUAGGUACGCUUUAUGCGGGAGGCUAAUUUAACUAAUUUAUAACACCAUAAAACUGCCAGCAACAUGCCAGAAAAGAAUGAGGAAGUACAGUCACUAGUGGACGGUGAAGCAACAGCUCUCCCUGUGGCCAGAAUCAUGAAGCUGGAAAUGUUAAAUGCCUCUGUGUGUGUCUAUACUAUAUGUUGUUUGUCUGAUGGCAUUGAAUGUUUGCCAUAUAUAUGUUCAUUGUAAUCUGCCCUGAGUCCCCUUCGGGGUGAGAAGGGCGGAAUAUAAAUACUGUAAAUAAAUAUAUAAAUAAAUCCA